rnacentral:misc_RNA from 1 species
UCAGCGGUCUGCGCUGUCCUGCACA